UACGGAGGGAGCUAGCGUUGUUCGGAAUUACUGGGCGUAAAGCGCACGUAGGCGGCUUUGUAAGUUAGAGGUGAAAGCCCGGGGCUCAACUCCGGAACUGCCUUUAAAACUGCAUCGCUUGAAUCCAGGAGAGGUGAGUGGAAUUCCGAGUGUAGAGGUGAAAUUCGUAGAUAUUCGGAAGAACACCAGUGGCGAAGGCGGCUCACUGGACUGGUAUUGACGCUGAGGUGCGAAAGCGUGGGGAGCGAACAGG
rnacentral:rRNA from 1 species